rnacentral:rRNA from 1 species
GAUGAACGCUAGCGGCAGGCUUAAUACAUGCAAGUCGAACGGCAGCACUUCGGGUGGCGAGUGGCGCACGGGUGAGUAACGCGUACAAAAUCUACCUCUAACUGGGGGAAAGUCGCUGGAAACGGCGAAUAAUCCCGCAUAAGACCCCACUACCGCAUGGUAGAGUGGUAAAAGACUUCGGUUGGUAAGAGAUGAUUGUG